rnacentral:rRNA from 1 species
GAUGAACGCUAGCGGCAGGCCUAAUACAUGCAAGUCGAACGGUGUCUUCGGACAUAGUGGCGCACGGGUGCGUAACACGUAUGCAACCUACCUUACAUUGGGGGAUAGCCUUUCGAAAGGGAGAUUAAUACCGCAUAAGACAGUAGCUGGGCAUCCAGCAGCUGUUAAAGAUUUAUCGAUGUAAGCUGGGCAUGCGUCCAAUUAGCUAGUUGGUGAGGUAACGGCUCACCAAGGCAAUGAUUGGUAGGGGAACUGAGAGGUCAAUCCCCCACACUGGCACUGAGAUACGGGCCAGACUCCUACGGGAGGCAGCAGUAGGGAAUAUUGGGCAAUGGACGCAAGUCUGACCCAGCCAUGCCGCGUGCAGGAUGAAGGCGUUAUGCGUUGUAAACUGCUUUUAUACAGGAAGAAACGACUCUUGCGAGAGGCAUUGACGGUACUGUAUGAAUAAGCACCGGCUAACUCCGUGCCAGCCGCCGCCGUAAUUA